UUCCCUAUUUCUUCUCAUUUGCGCCGAUUUCCCAUUCUCUUCUUCUCGUGCCCUAGCCAUCACCACCACCCGAACUCCUCUUCCUCUCGCCUCUGCCCAACGCCGUCGACGCCGCCCGACGCCGAUCGAUCGCACACACUACCGUGGGAAGGAGGGAGUUGUGGAUCUCUUCAUCGCCACUUCUCUCCUUUCUCUCUGUGUCGAGUUCCCGUCUUCCUCGUGAUUUCCUCUUCUCCCAUGUUUUGCCUGCCGGACGUUGUCAUCCCGUCACCAUCACCGGUCGUCGUUCACGGUCACCUCGUUGCCACCUCUGUUGGACGUGGAUAGCUCGCAACCAGCCGCAACCACUGCUGCUCACCCCAAUUUCGGUCAGUGCCCUAGCUCUCCAUCGCCGCCCUCUGCCCUAAACCGAGCAUGUUUCCUUCCUCUGCACAGGAGCCGCCGGUGGUUUCUUGAUAGCCAUGAGCGAGGUCAUCAAACUGUCGCCAAAUGUUGAGAGAUAUCAGAUUUGGCUUGAGGGAUUUUGAUCUGAGAUGAGACACAUCUCGAUGUGGGAUUGUAUUGGCAUGAUUUUCACAAUGAAGGUAGUAGGUAAAGGAUUUAUGGAGUCACCUGGAGAUCUUGUCCGCCAGUCCCGUGUUACACCGAACUACUAUCAUUAGUGUUUCCGUUCGUAUAUUUGGUUUUGCACUUGUUCUCGUAUUUUUAUAUUUUAUAUGGAGUUUGUCUUGUAUUUGAUGUGUUGAUUAUGUGUCAAGUCGGGUCGGCUUGCAGUUAGUUGUUCUGGUGUUUUAUGUUCCUUAUGUUGUGAUUUCCACUGUGUUAUAUUCCAGCCGUGUGAGCUGCAUAUUAAAUUUGCGUGGUUGUGUUAUUUAUCCAACCGUGGGGGUUGUUAUA